rnacentral:lncRNA from 1 species
UUACUUUGUUUUUGUCAACUUUUUAUUUCAACCCGUAUACAAAAUAAACCCAAAGAAACCAAAUAACCGACAUUGAUUUGUCUUCCUGUAUCGGGUGACACAGCAAUUCCACGCGUUCCAACAUUCAAAGAAGCAAUUGACGUGUCAUCCAAUGCUUCUGCAUGUAGCAAACUCAGUUCACGCGUUUGGAAACGCGCCGCCGUGCAAAGAGAGGACUCUGAUGCCGCAGCUCCGCCAACAAAUCCUCCUUUUACUCAAGAUACAACAUCGGACACAUUGAUCUGUUCUUGCAAACGCCUUCCACCCCAACCGAGAUGACUGGUUAACAUUGGGGAUAAUUUUAUCAGGAUAAUAUAUUUUAAUUAUUACUAUUCUGUGGAUUUUUCAACUAUAUAAGAGAUUUUCCUUUUAGCCGAAUCAUUCUCUCUCUAAACGCAAACUCUCUCGUUUUAUUGUUCUCUCCAACCAAAUCGUAUGUCUCCGACCGACGUCGGUGGGCUUCCACAGCCACAGCGUCGGUCGGUGUAGUCUCUUGUUGUUUUAGGCUGUGUUUUGAGUUAGCUAUGGUUUUGCAUGUUUUCCGAUCUAGAUCUAGAUAAAAAACCAUGUUGUUGGACUAUUGAUCGUGUCGUUUUGGCUCAUGUCUUCGCUUCUGUUGUUGAUCUAUGCUCUUACUUUGCUUCGCUGGUGCUCUAAGCCAUUUGGAUCUUACCGUUUGAAGUUUUGGGUUCUGUCUUCGAUGGAUUUUAGAGCUUUAGUGGUCACUCUGAUGGAGAAGAUGUCGGGUUAAAGAGGAUUGCUUAUCCUUGGUUCCUUUGCAACAGUUCGAUUAAGGAUUUGGAGCUUCUUCUCUUAGCACCAGGACAUGGGAAGUCGUUAGGUAAACCACUCUCUUCACUGCGUCUUCCUUGGUUGCAUCAACGCUUUCCUGCUCGUGGCUCCUCAAAUGGUUGGAGCAAUAUAAUGAGUGAUGGCUUGAUCUUCCUGAAUAAUGUUUGUCCUCGGGUGUAUUCUUCCUUCUAAUCCUCUUCUUUCUGAUUUAGCUUCUCUGGUUCACUGUAUUGUGAUUUGAUCUAUUUUGUUAUAUGUAAAACCAUAGCUUUAGUCUUUGUCUGUCUCUGAAGACUUGUUUGUCCGUCGGCUUAUGUUUCCUGGGAACGUUCUUUAUUCCACUGGCCUAGUCUCCGGGAGUUUAGUGACUCGCCAGCUUUAGUGUUUAAUCCUUGUGUAAUCUUUGGUUAAUGUUAAUCUAAUCUUUUAGUGUUUAAAAAAACAGAUUUUCCUUUCCCAAUUACAGUCUUAUAUAUAUUAAAAGUUUAAACCUUGUAGAAUCCUAAGUAAUCCCGAAAUUAGUCCAUUGUCAAAUAAAUUUG